rnacentral:rRNA from 1 species
GACGAACGCUGGCGGCGUGCUUAACACAUGCAAGUGGAGCGACGAACCAGGCUUCGGCCUGGGGCAAAGCCGCGAACGGGUGAGUAACACGUGGGUAACCUGCCCCGAUGACCGGGACAACCCGAGGAAACUCGGGCUAAUACCGGAUGUGCUGUCCUCGCAUCAGUGAGGAUUGGAAAGGGAGCUUCGGCCUCCGCAUCGGGAUGGGCCCGCGGCCCAUUAGCUUGUUGGUGAGGUAACGGCUCACCAAGGCUGCGAUGGGUAGCUGGUCUGAGAGGACGAUCAGCCACACUGGGACUGAGACACGGCCCAGACUCCUACGGGAGGCAGCAGUGGGGAAUCUUGCGCAAUGCGCGAAAGCGUGACGCAGCAACGCCGCGUGAGGGAAGAAGGCCUUAGGGUUGUAAAGCUCUUUCAGCUGGGAAGAUAAUGACGGUACCAGCAGAAGAAGCCCCGGCUAACUCCGUGCCAGCCGCCGCGGUAAUAC